rnacentral:sRNA from 1 species
GGCAAGAGCGACAAAUGCAAGAUAUGUAGACAAAACAUGAUGCUGAGAUAGCAGUUUUAAGAUCUGAAUGUUUUGCCGGACGGAGGGAGCAGUAUGCCCAACAAUCGAUAUCGCUUACUCCCACCCCUACGAGGUAGAAUAGUUAGGCGGGAGAACCAAACAGGAUCGGGCAAGAGGCAAGUAGUGUUGCGGCGAGGAACACCCAUUUUGUCCAAACCGUUUAGGUAGA